UACGUAGGGUGCGAGCGUUGUCCGGAAUUAUUGGGCGUAAAGAGCUUGUAGGCGGUUUGUCGCGUCUGCCGUGAAAAUCCGGGGCUCAACCCCGGACUUGCGGUGGGUACGGGCAGACUAGAGUGUGGUAGGGGAGACUGGAAUUCCUGGUGUAGCGGUGAAAUGCGCAGAUAUCAGGAGGAACACCGGUGGCGAAGGCGGGUCUCUGGGCAGUAACUGACGCUGAGACACGAAAGCGUGGGUAGCAAACAGG
rnacentral:rRNA from 1 species